ensembl:snRNA U6 U6 spliceosomal RNA
CUGCCAGCACAUAUACUAAAAUUAGAAAGAUACAGAGAAGAUUAGCGUGGUCCCUGAGCAAGGAUGACAGCAAAUUUGUGAAGCAUUCCAUAUUUUU